rnacentral:rRNA from 1 species
UAGCGUAGGCGCAAGCGUUAUCGAAUUGUGGCGUAAAGAGCUCGUAGGCGGUUUGUCGCGUCUGCCGUGAAAGUCCGGGGCUCAACUCCGGAUCUGCGGUGGGUACGGGCAGACUAGAGUGAUGUAGGGGAGACUGGAAUUCCUGGUGUAGCGGUGAAAUGCGCAGAUAUCAGGAAGAACACCCGUGGCGAAGGCGGCUCUCUGGGACGUGACUGACGCUGAGACGCGAAAGCGUGGGGAGCGAACAGG